AGAUGCUGUGAGCUCAGCAGCUGCGGAGCGGAGCAGGAUUUACUCUCUGUCCUGGAGGUCCACCUUAAAGCAACGGGGGGGAGCAAUUAGCUGCGGCAGCUUCAGCCAAGAGGGUGAAGUUUAACUUGCAAGACUCUGCGGUGAACAGAGGAGGAGAUCCAGUGAUACGAGACUGAAACCCACGUUUUCUUCCCCGGUUACGAGCGUCGACCUGUGAGAGGAUUUACAGGUCAUGUGACGACUGUUGAGCCAUCUCCAUGACAACAGAGCAAACUCCAGUGGCUGAUGACGCCUGAAAAUGAGGUCGAAAAAAAACUUCCAGAGAAAAUCUAGUGCUGGUUCAGCAGUGGGAAGAUGAAAAGGUAAGAGCCGGC